rnacentral:rRNA from 1 species
UACGUAGGGGGCAAGCGUUGUCCGGAAUUAUUGGGCGUAAAGAGCGUGUAGGCGGUCCGGUAAGUCGGCUGUGAAAGUCCAGGGCUCAACCCUGGGAUGCCGGUCGAUACUGCCGGACUAGAGUUCGGAAGAGGCGAGUGGAAUUCCCCGGUGUAGCGGUGAAAUGCGUAGAUAUCUGGAGGAACAUCGGUGGCGAAGGCGGCAUCCUGGACCGAUAUUGACGCUGAGGCGCGAAAGCCAGGGGAGCAAACGGG